UUUUCAACAACACAGUCUCACACCCUAUUCGUCACAUACUGCCGUUUGGUCAUGACCCCCUCACGUUCAUAGCCGACGUUGAGGGUACCCCCUAUUCGUCGCUUGAAAACGUAGAGGGUCGUCCUAUAGAUUUGAAUGCAAACCCCUCAUCUUUGAAUUUUGACGAAAUGGGUUUAUCGGUUUGCCUGCGCAAUAUGGUUUUAGACGAUUGAUUUUAUGCUGCAAAUGUGCAUUUUGCACAAGCGUGCGGCGCAUAAACGGUUACUAUUGAUGCGGUGACCAAACAUUUUCGUGGAGCGGAAACCCUUGUCUGAAUCGGUGUAUCACGACUUUUCUCUCUCUCUUUUUUAUAUAGAUAUAUUUGGUAUACAAUAAAAUGACAUAUUUACAGGGCUGUAUUUGCUGUUUGUUUAAAACAUGCCUUAAUUAACGUAGGAUAUUUUAUUAUUUUCGAUCACGCACAGUUGGUCAUUCCCCCUCACGUCCAUAAGCUGACGUUGAGGGUAUCCCCCAAUUCGUCGCAUGACAACGUAGAAGGGUCGUCCGCGAUAUUUGAAUCCAAAUCCCUCAUCUUUGGAUUUUGGCGAAAUGGGGGUAUUCGUGCCUGCGCUGCAAAGUUUGUUUUAGGCGAUUGAUUUUAUGGUUCAAAUGUGUAUUUUGCAGUAGCGUGCGGCUGUUACAUUCAUUGGUGCGGUGACUACAUUUUCGUGGGGCAGAAUCCCUUGUCUAAAGCGGUAUCACGACUUUCUCUCUCUUUAAGUUAUAUGCUCUACAUUAAAAUGACUGUAUAUUUGCUGUAUGUUUAAUUAAGAUAGGACCCAGUCUCAAGGCAGUUCGUGUAAUUUAAUCUAUUGAUUCGUGUCCAUGGACACGAUUUUCCCCUUUUUUCGUGCCAGUCAGAACGACUUUCAAUCUAAUGUAUUUCAAUAGGAAGUAUUUUUCGUGCCUGCAUCACGGUUUUUUUCCUAUUAUUUUUUUCGUGUUUAUAAGCACGAAUUUAAUCUAAUGUAUUGCAAUAGUAUAUACCAGGGAGCUGUGUUGUUUUACUUUAUUUGUCAUUAAUUGAUUACACUUUAAACGCUACUUUACUCAACAUUUAAUCAGGAGAUGUUUAUCCUUUUUUAUUUGUUUAAUAUUCUGCAUGAUUGUUGUAAACCAUCGUCAGCGGUACAAAAUUGUUAAUUUACGAGAAUGCAGAGUUUUUCUACUGCCAUCGUUUACAAAUGUUGCCGUUUUUUCUGAGAAAUAUUGAUUUUUCGAUCGGUUUCGUGUGUCAAAUACAAGAGUAAAUACUACAGUACCCAUGAGCCUUAUCGACAUCUACUAUGGUGAAGGCACCAGCUAAAACUACAUGUGGGCCCGCUGCAGAUCACAAUAUUUUCUCAACACAUGAACACUAACGUGUGCUUGAUAAUUCAACAAUACGAUGUUAUGGCCAUCAAUUUUGAUUGUUUCUACUUUGAUUGUAAAAAAAAAUAAGUCAGUUUCGGACGCCUGCAUUUCCCAGAAUCCUCUCUGCCUCCGUUGCUAUGGAAUCUGAGCCAGUCCUCUUUGCUAUUGGGUGAUUUCUUCUUCGGUACUCGUGACAGGGAUUCUCUCAUUACGCGAAAAUCACUGCCAGGUGAGUCACGAUGCUUUCGUUUAAAGUUCACUAUUUGUUUAAAUGUUAUAAUUCACGCCUUUCUUUUGGCAUUAGGCUGACAUUGCCAUACCCGUACGAAAAUUAACCAUGUUUUUGUGGUAAAAGUGUAGUAACUACGGUUUGUGUAUCGAUUAUUUGCAAAAUGGUUUUAGUAAACCAAACAUGGUUUAAUUUUUUUUUCAAAUUCAUGGUUCUGCUUAACUGUAGUAAAACAAUGGUUAAUUUUUGCAAGGGAAGUCUAAUUAAAGUCCCAUUAAUAAGCUAACGUUAACCUAGUUUAAGUUAUCAACCUUUAGGUUUAACUUAACGUGGUCAUUGCUUUAUUGUGUGAGCUUAAUAUAGUUUAAAGUUUUAAUAUUUGUCUUAUAAUAUUUGAAAGAAAAUAGGAAUCCCCACUAUUGGGGUACACUAUUUAAGCCUUAUAUUAGAGCUAAUUUACACUACAUAAUAAACAUUUUCUGUUCUCCCUGCAGAUCCUGUCAUUCGAAUCACCUGUUACAACUUAGAUUUAACGUUGCUUAUUUUAUAAACCCAAAGGCACUUUUAAGAGCCAUCCAUCCUCUCUUUCUUUAUCAUUUUCUGUCUAUUUCUUGCAACCUAUCUCUAUAUACUGCAUUUGUUGUACAUGUCUGUCCAGCUGUGUGUUUGUCUUUCUGUCUUUGCCUGCUUUGCAAUGGCCACCAGAUAUACCCCUCACAAACAGGAUCCCCACUAAGAGGGGAGGCUCAUGGCUCUUGAGCUGAACCAUGACCACAUUCUAGCUGAAGCCAAGAGAGCAGCUGUGGAGACGAAACGUUUAUGCCCUAGAAGAGACCCUUCACAGACCUCUAAAAGGAUCUUUGUUGGCUGGGGCAUGCCGAGUCCUUGGGAGGCAAGGAGGGGUGACGCCAAGCCUCAGCUACAGUCACUUUUACAGGUUGAGUGCUUCCUGUCAUCCAGUGUGGAGUUUCCACCUAACUGUACCCUCAGCAAAACUAAAUCCUCAUGAGGAAUUUGGUGCAGAGAGUGGUUCUGUGGGGACCGUGAUGUAUUACGUCACAAAAAACAGCCACUCCCCAAUAGGGAAUGUGUAAUUAAUAGUUUUUUGUAGCCAUCCGUCCAACCAAAUGCAUCAUUAAAGGGGAAGAUGGAUAUUGCACUCAACACAAGGUAUGUUCUCAAAAAAGCCCUAAUUUUGAUGUUUUUAUGUGUCUGCAGCCAGUAACAGGUAAUCUAAACUAGUGGUUUUCUUUCUUUUUGGCAGUCGGCAAGAUGACAUACCGCUGUUGUAAACGCACAAACGUAAUAAUGCUUUCAGGCAAACCAAUCAUUUUAAUUAUCAUCAAUGGUAAAACCAAUUCACAGUUUAGAUUUCCAUUUUAGAUUUGAUGUUUUUCACACUAUGUUUUGAUGUUUUCAAUGCUGUGGCAUUGUACAUUGCAGUAGAGUCAAAGAGCAUUGUAUAGCACAUUACAAUCCAAGUAGGGCAUCGUGAGCAAGGCCUGUUGUGGGAGUCUAAACGGGGGUCAACUGCGUGCAAUUUAUGUUUAGUUAUUAUUUAUUUAUUUUGUGGUUUUAGAUAUGUUCAUCAUUCAUCAGUUCUCACUUCCCUGGACUUCAACCUUGCUACACACAUGGUAUCGUUAUUAAUCGAAACAAAGACAGAUAUCUUUAUAUUUUUGUUCUCUGCAGACAAACAAAAAAUGUUAGCUGUUGCAAAGCAAUUUGGGCGUUUUGACUUGCCUCAGCCACUGUAUGUCUGUUAAACAUGCAAACAGCAAAGGACCCCAGACCUGAAAGACCUUCUGAGGAGUGGAUAUUGACCAGCUUCAAUAAACAACACCACACUUUACACACUGGACCUCCUGAUCUCCUUUCAAGAACUCAAGGUCAUCUCUUCAAGAUUCUCCAGACAAGCCUUCGCAAGGCUGCUGGAGCAUCGCACGAAGUGUGGAGGAAGAUCUGGAUAUAUCAACGGCGAUGCACUGCAACGCAGCUUCUUGGAGUUUUCAUACGCUUCAUUUGAAGCAGACCAGCUCUGGUGUGGUGCUCCUUUCACCUGCCCAGCCUGAACGCUAGAAUUGUUGGCUGCAUCAGCAGAUCGAAACAGAAAGCUAUAUCACUUUUGCCCAAACAGAAGACUGUGGCUUGCAAAUAUUGGCCAUACUUGAAGAAAGUUGCUAGUGUCCUUCCUGAUCUUCAGGAGCUGACCUCUCCUUUCCUUUCCUUAAUGUUAUGCAUGCUUGAGCCACGCUACAAAGUGUGAGAUUAAAUGAAGUGGUAGGAACAGGGACAACCACCGGUGUGUGGAACAAGUGAACAGCUGCCUAUCCCGUUGUGCCCGUACAACCAAGUGGGUGGACAUGCUUACAUUGCAUGCAAUGGGCUGGAACCAUAAAAAGUAUCUCUCUACAUCAGGCACUUUCCACAAUAUAUGUGAAAACAUCCAGCACGAGACUGCAAGGCUAGCAGAACUAAAAACAAAGCUACAUCGCACAGAUAAAGGGGCAUCACAAUGGCUUUCUGAUGUGAAAGAAUGGGUAGCUCAUGAGACAUCAGAAACAUCUCAUGCCAGUAAAGGCACCACACACAGAGAACUUCAGCAGUCAAUUGAGGGGCUUUAUCUUGGUGUGAUGCUCUGCAAGCAAACUCUCUACCGUCAGAAUGACAGCAGCAAGCUUCCCUAACUGGAGAGAGCAGUGUGUCUCAGAUAUGGCCGCGGGACCUUCAUGGCAGUGGUAUGUCACUAUUCAGCAAACAUUUCAGUCAAGAAACGAUCGCAUGGCCAAGUGAUGUUGACAAUGCGACUGCAAGAGGAAAGGGGCAUUGUGGUGUUAGAGAUGGCUCAACAAUACACAUGGUUGCAGAGCCUGGCAGUGGCUCUCAAGAACAAGAUGGCUGAGGAGGACAAGGGAAAUGAAGGACUUUGCUGUCUCUUAAGAAGAAGAUCGUCAGUGGUGUCAGAAGGGUUACAAGUCGUCCUUCAACAAUACAAGACUGCAUUAGGUCUUGAGGUCUCUGUCCUUCUACAUGUUGAAGAAGAAGAUCAAAGUGACCUCAGCAGUCCAGAUACCAGCGAGGAUGAAGAGGAAAACAUAAUUUAGAUAGAAACUACACAAAGGACUGCGUUUAAGGAAAUGGACUUGGCAUAUAUCUGUGUAGUGUUAGUAUGCUAACUACAUUAUUAUCUGUAUGCAUCCUAUAUUGUUGAAAUGUUCAACCUGUGUCUAGAUUAUCAAGCAUGUUAUUUAGCACGUUGAUGCUCCUUAAAUAUGCACAAACAUCUCAAUAUAGGUGCAACCAUUGUAUGAUAUUAUCAGAUGUAAUAAUUGAACUUAUGUUAUAUUUGGAUAGUGUAUUCAUAAUUUGUGUAUUUAAAGUUGCUAAUGGGCAUUGUUAGCCACAUCACAAACUCACUGUUAAAACACUGCUUAUUGUGCCUUUUUGUGUUUAUGUACUUGCAUUGGUGCAGUAAUAUCGAUGUUAUGCAGUAAGGUCAUUGGUGUGUUUUACAAUGGCUUUGAACAGAGCUCAGUCCAAUCAGAAUAAUCAUUGAUAAUAAAGUAAGUUUUAUAAUGGGUAAGUUGAUAUGAAAUAUUGUAAGCACAUUCAUCAGGAUGACUUAGCUGACCUUGUGACCUUUAUUACCAGGCCAAAAUGUGAAAACUCUACUUGAUUGAGUGUAUUAUAGGAUUGUGCACCAUUGAAGAUAAACAUCAUAAAUUCUUUCUUAAAGAUGGAUAAUUUGUUGGCCAUGUGUCUGUCACUAUCAGUUCUGUUCUUAUAAGCACAUUGUACAUUAAAGACUAUAGUAUGCAAAAGAAAAAUACACUAGAUUUAUAUUUUAUGAUUACACUUAUAUUGUGUAUUACUACAUUUGAUAGAUAACUUUAUUCCCUGUUCUGCUGGUGGUUUUCAAGUGAACUUCACAGUCUAGUGUUAUUAAAUUCAGCCUUAUGGCUUGAUUGACAAAUUUGCAUUUCAUGUAUUUUCAUUGCUUUUAUUGUGAAAGACAAAAAAUAAAGUGUUUCUAAACAUGA